GGCCUGAUGGUGUAAUGGUAACAUGCCUGUGGUCGGUUUUCGGCAACAGUACUACUUUCUGCAGGAGAUCCUUGUUCAAUUCGAGGUCAGGUCG